GAUGUACGCUGGCGGCGUGCCUAAUACAUGCAAGUCGAGCGAACGGACGAGAAGCUUGCUUCUCUGAUGUUAGCGGCGGACGGGUGAGUAACACGUGGAUAACCUACCUAUAAGACUGGGAUAACUUCGGGAAACCGGAGCUAAUACCGGAUAAUAUUUUGAACCGCAUGGUUCAAAAGUGAAAGACGGUCUUGCUGUCACUUAUAGAUGGAUCCGCGCUGCAUUAGCUAGUUGGUAAGGUAACGGCUUACCAAGGCAACGAUGCAUAGCCGACCUGAGAGGGUGAUCGGCCACACUGGAACUGAGACACGGUCCAGACUCCUACGGGAGGCAGCAGUAGGGAAUCUUCCGCAAUGGGCGAAAGCCUGACGGAGCAACGCCGCGUGAGUGAUGAAGGUCUUCGGAUCGUAAAACUCUGUUAUUAGGGAAGAACAUAUGUGUAAGUAACUGUGCACAUCUUGACGGUACCUAAUCAGAAAGCCACGGCUAACUACGUG
rnacentral:rRNA from 1 species